UACGAAGGGGGCUAGCGUUGCUCGGAAUCACUGGGCGUAAAGGGUGCGUAGGCGGGUCUUUUAAGUCAGGGGUGAAAUCCUGGAGCUCAACUCCAGAACUGCCUUUGAUACUGAAGAUCUUGAGUUCGGGAGAGGUGAGUGGACUGCGAGUGUAGAGGUGAAAUUCGUAGAUAUUCGCAAGAACACCAGUGGCGAAGGCGGCUCACUGGCCCGAUACUGACGCUGAGGCACGAAAGCGUGGGGAGCAAACAGG
rnacentral:rRNA from 1 species